rnacentral:rRNA from 1 species
CCUACGGGUGGCAGCAGUGAGGAAUAUUGGUCAAUGGACGAGAGUCUGAACCAGCCAAGUAGCGUGAAGGAUGACUGCCCUAUGGGUUGUAAACUUCUUUUAUAUGGGAAUAAAAUGUUCCACGUGUGGGAUUUUGUAUGUACCAUAUGAAUAAGGAUCGGCUAACUCCGUGCCAGCAGCCGCGGUAAUACGGAGGAUCCGAGCGUUAUCCGGAUUUAUUGGGUUUAAAGGGAGCGUAGGUGGAUUGUUAAGUCAGUUGUGAAAGUUUGCGGCUCAACCGUAAAAUUGCAGUUGAAACUGGCAGUCUUGAGUACAGUAGAGGUGGGCGGAAUUCGUGGUGGAGCGGUGAAAUGCUUAGAUAUUACGAAGAACUCCGGUUGCGAAGGCAGCUCACUGGACUGCAACUGACGCUGAGGCUCGAAAGCGUGGGGAGCAAACAGGAUUAGAUACCCCGGUAGUC